rnacentral:tRNA from 1 species
GCCGUGGUAGUGUAGUGGUUUAACACACCCGUUGGUCUUAACACGUGCGCGGUCAUUCGUUGUUACUCAACGCCGUGUCAGUCUAGAUCCGAGGAGGUCGCGGGUUCGAUUCCUGCUCAUGGUG